CUCGGCAGGCCCCAGCAAGCCAGGAAGGAGGAGGCUGGCAGAGCUCCCUGCAGCAGACCCUCCCUGCAGCACAGCUUUUGCAAGAUGCGCAUCACUGCCUGCGGUAGCAAUUCAGAAUAGCUGUGAAAAUGAGAGGAUCACUGUGAAGACAUUGUGUGAUGGAGGCUGCGCUCACUGUAACCGGAGUUGAGGGAAGAAGCCUCUCCCCGUCUCCAGCUGAGAUUGGCUGUCAGGGCCAUCCUUCAUGCAAGAAAGAAGCCUGCAGAGUCAGUUCCUCCUCCUCUCUCCAGUCUCCCUGUCUGCAGUUCGAUUCCUGUCCAUUUCAUCUGAAUGUAGACAAGAAACAAACAGCAAGCUCUUAGUCUCACAAGACUUCAGAUUCCUUCUAGCUCUUUGCCUUUAUUGUUUCCUUGGACAAAGCUGCAAUGCAUCCAUCUUUCUUUGACAUGUGACACAAAAGUGUUCAACAACCAUCAGGCUGGACUCUGAAGCACUCUGAAGUAAUCCAUGAAGUAAUCCAUCCACAUACCACUGUUGAUGUAGGCUCCACAGGUGACUUGCUUCACUCGAACUGUUUCAGUGAUACAGCAUUCAUGUGAUCCAGAUGGAUUUUAGCCUUAACAAUGAAACCCCAUGAAUAUGAGAAGUUUUUCUGGUGUGGUUAAAAACAGUUGGAAUGACAGUCUCUUCAUACAAAUUAUUUCCUUUUCUACACUGAAAGCACCUCCAUAAUUUAGCUUCGCUGUAAAAAUCACAUCACCAGCACCAUGUAAAGUGAUCUCAUCAUCAUUAACAUCCUAAACUAUGAGGACCCACACCAAAAAACAGGUUGGGAAACAAGACCAUUCAGAAUAAUAUUGAUGAAUAAAGUCAGCCUGCUAUAUCACAAUUCAAUUAGGCCACUUACAAAUCAAAGCAGAAUAUUCAGAAGUUUUGUAGGGCACAUUAAUUAUUUUACUCACUUUAAGGUCUUGACUGUGAACUUAACUCACUUUAAGGUCUUGAAUGUGAACUUACUGUGAAUGGAAUACAAGAAGCUGUCUACAAGCCAAAUUUAGCCAAUACUGGAAUAGGGAUACAAAUACGAUGAAUACAAUGGAUAUUUAUAUAUCACUAUUCAACAAAACUUCCCAAAGCAGUCUACAUAGAAAUUAAUUAAUCAAAUAAAUAAAUAAAUAAAUAAUAAAAUGUCUCCUUGUCCCCAAAGGGCUCACAAUCUGAGAAAAAGGAAUAUAAGACAGACACCAGAAACAGUCACUGGAGGGAUGCUGUGCUGGGGAUGGAUAGGGCCAAUUGCUCUCCCACAGCUAAAUAAAGGGAAUCACCACUUUAAAAUGGUGCAUCUUUGCUCAUUUAGCAGGGGAUGUGCAUAAAGCAGAUUUUGCAAUUCAUUUCAAGCUCAAAACGAAUAAUAAAUCCUCAAAUUUAUUGAUUGAAAUAGCAGCCAAUGAUCGCUGUUUCGAUGAAUCAACAUCGGAACACUUAGAUUGAUUCAAGUGUUUUGAGCACCAUUUGGGGCCCUGUUUUUCC